GCAGUGGUGCUUUAGUGGUAAAAUUUCCACCUUCCAUGUGGGAGACCUGGGUUCAAUUCUCAGCUAAUGUA
rnacentral:tRNA from 1 species